GGAGGGUGCAAGCGUUAAUCGGAAUUACUGGGCGUAAAGCGCGCGUAGGCUCUUAGUCAGUCAGAUGUGAAAGCCCCGGGCUCAACCUGGGAACUGCAUUUGAUACUGCUGGACUAUAGAGUGUGGUGAGGGAAGUGGAAUUCCGCGUGUUAGGCUGAAAUGCGUAGAUAUCGGAAGGAACCAUCAUUGCGAAGGCAGCUUCCUGGACCAACAC
rnacentral:rRNA from 1 species